ACCUGUGUUCUAAAUUUGAAUUUGGUGGCAUGAAAAUUUUAUUGAUUUUUUGUCAUUUGAAAAUAUAUUUCGUCAAGUAUUUUCGAAAUGGAUAAAAUUGAACGAAGAGCGGUGAUCAAGUUUCUUCAUAUGAAGGGCAUGAAGGGGAAAGAUAUCUAUGACGAGUUAAAAAAUGUUUUGGGUGAAUGUGCUCCUUCUUAUAUCACAGUAAAAACCUUGGUGGCAGAGUUUAAACGCGGUCGUACAUGUGUCCAAGGUGAAGCCCGCUCCGGACGUCCAAAAAGCGUCAUGACUCCGGAAAUGGUCGUGUAAGUAAAUUAUAUGGUUUUAACAGAUCGACGAUUGAAUUUAUCUGAAACAGCUGACACUACAGUGUAGGUAUCUCAAAAGACCUGGUACAUCAUAUCCUAAGUGAGGAAUUAAAUAUGAAAAAGUCAUCGGCCCGUUGGGUGCCGCGAUAAGCAAUUAUAUAUUUUGCAGGCCUUAAAAGAUAUAAUUUUAUGGUAGGCAUUAUUGCUUUAGAACGAUGAUUGAAUAAGUGCGUUGAGGUUCACGGAGACUAUGUCGAAAAAUAAAAUUAAUUUUAUCACGAAAAGUUAAGUGUUUUAUUGUUAGGCUAGUUAAUUAUCAUCCCGCCCUUGUAGAUAUACCUUCAGGUAAUUUCUUUACACGUUUCCCAAGAGAGUUGUAUCAUGGAUUGGCACUUAUGCUGCCGACGCGAGCUCCAUCGACACUACGGAAGGCAGAACUGGCACUACCAAAGCCACUCUAGAUUAGUGAACCUUAUAAAGUACACUUAGAAGAGGGCGUUUAUCCCUUAAUUCUUUUGGGCUCCGAUGUUGAUUUGAACACUAGUAAAAGAGCCUCUCGAUUUCUUUAUUGCUUCGACGGAUGAAAGAGCUCACGAGCCGUUGCAAGCGUCAGCGAAGGGUGCUGUUAGGAUGUUAAGAGCUUAGCUGAAAUAGCCCCUAAGGCUACCAGCGAAUAGGUAUAAUAUAAAACAUCCUAUUACAGUGCUACAAACAUGUAGACAUGUCGAAAAUGUAAUCAGCUUUUUAAUUUCCCUUAAUUUGUUUAAUUAUUAAAAACAUUUGCACAGAGUCAAGAGCAGCAAAUAACAGUAUUUAUAAUGUAUUAAUGUAUAGAUAGACGCGAAAGUUAAUUUUUUUUAUUAAAUAAUCAUAAUAGACGUAAAAAUAUAGAUAAAGUAUUUCCAAUUAUUCUCAAUUAUAUAUUAUCGAUGUGCCUUCAUUUUAACAAGGAAAAAACGUGUUCCUACGUUAUUAUCAUCAGUGUUUGGUCGCCGUAAUUGGUUUGGUAAACACUGCCUUGUUUCUAUGGCGAAGGAUGCUUGUUCAUGAUGUCAUGGUGCGAUAUUGGAUGGAUUUAAUUUGUACGCGCUACUUUUGUGUCUUAGGAUCUUCGUUUCAAGGUCAUGUGAUCUUGAAGUCAUUGAACUACGCUACUAAUAUAAUGAAAUAAAAUCAUUGAAAUACACCACGUAUCUCGCGGAAUCAGCUGCAGCGUCAGUAUUGGCGUUGACCGAGAGGUGCCUUUUGUUCAUCCGACUACUCUACUCUUUACCAUGAUAAUGCGGAAGCAAUCGUUUUUGGUGCUGCUAAGGCGUCUUGAGAGACUGCACGAGUAGGUAGGACCACCUUCGGUUUGAAAGGCGGGGCAGCGGUUGUACUGUUAAAACUGAGUCCUUAGAACUCAUGUCUUAAGGUGGGUGGUGGCAUUUACGUUGUUGCUGUUUUUUUUAAUUGCCCUUGUAAGCAGACGAGCAUACGGCCCACUUGAUGGUGAGUGGUUACCGUCGCCCAUGGACUUCAGCAAUGCCAGGGGUAGAGCCAAGCCGCUGCCUAUCGUGUGGACUACGGUUAACACCAGAUGAAUCGCGUGCUCGUUCAUCCAUCUAAGAUGCAUCUAAGCAAUAAAAAAUCCUUCAUUAUUCCAAAUCUGUUGACCCAGACGGUGAUAUUCUUCCUGGAAAUCAGUAACAGCAUAUUUUAUAAGCAUUUCUUGGAUAUCGUAAUUUCCCGGGGAUUUAUCAUAUUUUUUAAUAAGUUGAAUGGUUUGUUUAUAAUACAAAAUAUCAUAGGUCUGUUGAUAUUGUUUGAUUGAAAUUACGGGUACCGUCCGCGUAUAUCACGAUAAAUACAUAAAUAAUACACGUACUGCCAUCUGUUGUCAGUUACUAUGUUAAGAAAAGUUAUUUUAUUUUCUGCUUAGAUGGCGCUUACAAUAAUAUAGUUUGAAUGAAUGACUGAAUAAAUUGAAUUAACACAAUGAUAAAUGUAAAGUAAGUAAGUUGCUUCUAAUCUCGUCAUAACUACCUAUUGAAAUACAUUAAAAACUUCCAAUCUCAUCACAGCGAGUCAAUGAAGUAAAUGAAAAACUUCAAAUCUAUUCACAGCAAGUACAAAUUGAGAUACAUUAAAUAAAACCUAAUAUCGUCACACCAAGCUAACGGAAUAAAUUUAAAACUUCAAAUCUUGUCGCACCAAGUCAGCGCUUAUAAUUUUUAAGAUUUUAUAACCUGCCGUGCGAUUCUCUAAAAUUCAAACAAGAACUCGCAUCUCACUACGAAAUUCUCCAUCACUUCGCAUUCGCAAUAGAAUGACCUUGAUUUGGCAUUCUGUAAACACUAAUCUUAAUUACCCUGCCUCGAGCGAAGUGAAGUGACAACGAAGUUUGUUUACAAUACUACUAGGGAUAGCCGUAUACACGCAAAUGUAAAUCGAAGCUUACCGGUUUCAGUUUUUCUUUGUAUUUAGAAGCAUUCUGUAAGAAAAUACUAUGAAUUUAAGCUUUGGUGUCUAAACCACAUCUAAUAUAUCUAAAAAGAAAAUUAAAAGUCAUAUAUUUAUGAAAUUAAUUGUAAUUUCUGGCUGUACGCUAAGUUCCUUUGCGUGCACUGGCGAAUACCAGAAUUAAAAAACAAAAUUUUAAUUGUUUUCAAAACAAUUUCGAGCGGUCGGAAGUUUUUAUUUUGCUUUUUCUAGAUUUGUUGUUACUUUGUGAGUGAAUUUAACGUUAAAUAAAAAUUAUGAGAUUUAAAGAGCGUUCUUCUCAUCCGACAUUGGCGCAAAUAGAGGCAUUGAUAAACGUUUUGGGUUAAAAGCUAGAGAAACAAAAGGAUUAAUCGAAUCUCAACAUGUUCAAUAAGAGAACAAGGAUAUUAAAAAAAUAUAGGAACUAAAUUCUCUUGUCAGUUAAGAUCCAUUCCCGGUGAGAUAUUUAGGACAUGAUAACAUAUAUUUAUGUAUGAUAUAUCUAUCUACAACGUUUUUAUUGAUGUUCUAUUUUAACAGGGCAUGAAGGUAAUUUAUUUGUAUCUCAAAUUCACCAACAAAAAAAUUAUUUUGAAUUAAAUAAAUCAAAUCAUUAACAAUUUAGGUAUUGCAAGUUAGAUUGAUGUUGUUGGAAUGUAUUUAUUGAUGCAGAGGUGACUGUAUCUAUGGUAAACGGUGUGCAUACUGGUACAGGGGUGGCAGGCAGUGCCAGAGUAUUGACUAAACUGACAUUAUGUUGGCUAAAGGCUGCAUACUCAGUUUAAAAUAAAUGAACAAAAUUUAGGCAUAACCUAUUUUAUUAUAUUUAAGGAACUACAACAGAUUGAAAAUACUAAUCCACAUCAUCAGAAUAUUGUAAGGAGAAUUUAUAGCCUACUCGGAAAAUGUAUCAGUAUUGGAACAAUCACAAACAUACAGCAUUGCAUCAAGAAUCACCUAUUUUGCAGUCAUCAUCCUCUAACUAAAUGCAAGUGACUUCUACUUAUUGUGAUGCUACUACUAGUAGCUCCAGCCACAGUAGGUCUCACAUGUUAGUCAAGAGAUUGGGUUGAUAUGUGUUUAUUCAGGUCAAAGUACCUAUUCAUUGAACCACCAUAUUAGGGACAUUGAUUUGUGUAUAAUGCUGUUACUUGUAAAUAAAAACAUUUUGUUGCAUGUAUUGUAAACAUUGUAUUUUACCUAACCUUGUUUUUAAAUAAAUUUAUUAUUUUUUUCAGCACCUCAACACCUGACCUGCUAUUUCACCACUUUUACAAUGAAAAGCAGAGUGUACUCAAAUUACUGAGAGAAUUUUGUGGAUAGAGGAACUGCAGGUGAAGAUUCAGGGUGUUCAUAUGUGUGUCGUCCAAAGCAUUUUUGAACACAGUACCAUAUAUAACUUAAUGAAACUUACAACCAUGGGGGAAUGAAUAGUCGACAAUCUGCAAGAAGGAUGAACUGUUGGUGGAAUUAGCACAUGCAGCUAGCAAUUUUAAACCUGUAUUUCCACAUAAGUUACAAACAUGAUGAUGCAAACAAAUUUCAAUUAUUGUAUAUAACUAUUGAAUAAAACUAUAAUAAAACUAUUUUUAUAAAUCAUUAA